rnacentral:rRNA from 1 species
UACGUAGGGACCGAGCGUUGUCCGGAUUCAUUGGGCGUAAAGAGCUCGUAGGCGGCCACUCAAGUCGAAUGUGAAACCUCGAGGCUUAACCUCGAGCCUGCAUUCGAUACUGUGCGGCUAGAGUCUGGUAGGGGGAUCUGGAAUUCCUGGUGUAGCGGUGGAAUGCGCAGAUAUCAGGAGGAACACCGGUGGCGAAGGCGGGAUCCUGGGCCAGUACUGACGCUGAGGCGCGACAGCGUGGGGAGCAAACAGG